rnacentral:rRNA from 1 species
UACAGAGGUCUCAAGCGUUGUUCGGAUUCAUUGGGCGUAAAGGGUGCGUAGGCGGCGCGGUAAGUCGGGUGUGAAAUCUCGGAGCUUAACUCCGAAACUGCAUUCGAUACUGCCGUGCUUGAGGACUGGAGAGGAGACUGGAAUUUACGGUGUAGAGGUGAAAUUCGUAGAUAUUCGGAAGAACACCAGUGGCGAAGGCGACUUACUGGACACAUAUUGACGCUGAGGUGCGAAAGCGUGGGGAGCAAACAGG